ensembl:miRNA gmo-mir-20a-3 gmo-mir-20a-3
UAAAGUGCUUAUAGUGCAGGUAGUAUUGAUACCUGGCCUACCGCCCUGUAAGCACUUAUCU